rnacentral:rRNA from 1 species
AACCCUUUGUGAACAUACCUAUAACUGUUGCUUCGGCGGGUAGGGUCUCCGUGACCCUCCCGGCCUCCCGCCCCCGGGCGGGUCGGCGCCCGCCGGAGGAUAACCAAACUCUGAUUUAACGACGUUUCUUCUGAGUGGUACAAGCAAAUAAUCAAAACUUUUAACAACGGAUCUCUUGGUUCUGGCAUCGAUGAAGAACGCAGCGAAAUGCGAUAAGUAAUGUGAAUUGCAGAAUUCAGUGAAUCAUCGAAUCUUUGAACGCACAUUGCGCCCGCCAGCAUUCUGGCGGGCAUGCCUGUUCGAGCGUCAUUUCAACCCUCAAGCUCUGCUUGGUGUUGGGGCCCUACAGCUGAUGUAGGCCCUCAAAGGUAGUGGCGGACCCUCCCGGAGCCUCCUUUGCGUAGUAACUUUACGUCUCGCACUGGGAUCCGGAGGGACUCUUGCCGUAAAACCCCCAAUUUUCCAAAGGUUGACCUCGGAUCAGGUAGGAAUACCCGCUGAACUUAAGCAUAUCAAUAAGCGGAGGA